rnacentral:rRNA from 1 species
GGGUCAAUAGGUUGGUCGUGCCACCGGUACGUACUGGUCUCACUGAUUCCUCCUUCAUGAAGACCCGUAAUGCCAUUAAUUUGGUGUUGCGGGGAAACAGGACUGUUACUUUGAAAAAAUUAGAGUGUUUAAAGCAAGCUAACGCUUGAAUACAUUAGCAUGGAAUAAUGAAAUAGGACGAUCGAUCCUAUUUUGUUGGUUUCUAGGAUUGACGUA